UAUGUAGAUGUUUUACGUUUGUAUUAUUCAAAAGAUUCAGAUAAUAUUCAAAUGUUCUUUUUUUUUUUUUCUUACUAUCGUUUAAUAUAUUAUCUUUUCGAAAAAUUAUUUUCUAUAUAUGUAAAUAAGGUUACGAAUCAUUAACAACAUUCGUUAAAGCAUUUUGUUUCGUUUCGUUCUACUUUAACGAUCUAUCGUCGACUUUUUCAAACAAAUAUUUUCUCUUACAUUACCUAUCAAGCUUUUCCUAUCACGAAAAUCUGCAAAACGAUUUUCUUGUGAUGGUGUCAUGGAUCGCCAUUGAAGUUUCAUAUUGAAACCUCAUAACGUAAGGACGGAGAUAUACCCUAAGAGUUUAGAAAAUAUUAUUGCAGCUGACAUCAUCAUAAAGAAGAAUAUUUGAAGUGGAUAAAAUAUACAGACCCCACGAAAUAUGAUUUCUUUAACGGCAUCUGAAUCAACAAUUCUUCCUUCUGAAUCCUUACUUUUGUCCCAUUGUUCUUGUGUUAAAGGUGAGCCUAAUAUUUUCAAUUUUAUUAAUACAUUUCUUUGUAAAUCUUUUUUUGUAUCAAAUUUAUAUAUAUAUAUAUAUAUAUAUAAGUCAAGUAACAUACCUCUUGGACAAGGAGGUCUCGAUGGUAAUGAUAAACCUAUAUCCGUUUCUCCUAUUACUUCAUACUCAUCCCCUGAUCCAACAGAUACUGGUGGAUGAUGGACAUCAAUCGUAAAGGAAGAGUUAAACAAAUCUGCUACUGCUUCUUCAACCGGUCUUCUUGCUGGUUCUUUAUAUACUGAAAUAUAUAAUUAGAUUUAUAUGUUAUAUUUUAUUGAAAUAUUUAUACAAUAAGUAUGAAUUUUGAUGUAUUUUACUUACACCAAAUGUCCGCUAAUUUGCUAAAUGCUUCUAGCGUAGUCUCAUAUGGACGGUUGUGUAAAUUCUUCAUAAAUUUCCAUACAUAAUCCGAAGUAUUUUCUUGAAAUAAAUUCAAUUCUGCGAAUGAUUUGUUUAAAACAGUUUCAACCUCAUCCAAUACAUGAUACAAAUUUUUGUCUUUCGGUGAUCUUCUAAAGUUAAUAAAAUUCUUUAAAGAAUUAGUAAAAGUUUCAGCUUUCGACAAUUGGAAGAAGGCAACAUAGGUGGUACCAUCCCUUUGUAUAAAUAUAAGCUGCUGUCCUCCAUGAUUUACACGAAAUGACUUUAAGUCAGAGAAUAAUAUUCUAACGAUUCUCGAACGUCCAAGAGAAUCUGGACCAUCGGAAGAUGUACGAGUUCUUCUUGUAUGGGUAUCUACUAAAGACCAUUCCGGAUCUUGAUCCUGAUUCUCUAACACGACUGAAUCUUCUACAGAGUGCCAGAGCUGUGAACUUCAUCUUCUUUGCUAUUAGAUCUACGAAGUACAACCCCUGCGUAGAUGCAGAGAUCCUAGAAAGAAAGCAGCACUUCGAUAAUGAAGGAAAAAAAUGCUUCAUUUCUAAUCAGUCUGCUGUUCAUAUUGCUGAUCAAAAAACGUAAUCGUUUGCGUACACUUAACUACAUGGAAAAAAAAGUGAGCUAACCUAUAAGCAGUGUUUACAGUAUUAAAAUAUGAAGCAUAGGAUAAAAAUGUUUUGAUCGAAUAUUCGAAACGUAUAAAAAUAAUUGAACUUAAAUGAAACAUUAACAAAAAUAUCAAGUCUCAUGAUCCGUUCGUAUACGUUUUUUGUCUAUAAUACAUUGUUGUUGACAUUUGAUAGGGGAAACAUGUGGGCGGGUAAUGUUCGAUGUACGUCAUUCUCGAAUUAGACGUGCUGCCUGAAUUUCAUGCAGUUUAUAUGACGUUGAUAUGAGAGCGUGUGUUGAAAAGAUGAUGGUUGAAAAUUCAUGAAUAUUAUUUUCUCACCAUUCCCUGCUCCGUCGGUUCGAACAUCUCAAAAGUACACGCACAAUCGUUCGUAUGAAACACUGACAAGUUGAUCUAAUUUCAACACAUCCCUACCACGAGCUACGAUACCAAGUCCCUUACAAUAUAAAUUUAACGUCCUGAUCAUUCGACGACAAUCAAGACAGCCAUGCAACGUUGAUCUGUCUUACUAAUUUCAACGUUUGCUAAUAGUUCGUUCAUUUUGACGACGUAAUAAAUUCACAUAGAACGUCCUUAGAAUAUAUAUAUAUGAUCAAAAGGAUGACGGAAAACUUCUUAAACGAAGAAUUCAACGCUUAGCAAAUAGCAGUGGUACCGCUUGUUACCACUCUGUGUAUCUAUGAACCAAUCAAUUUGACAUAUUAUAUAUGAUAAUAAUUGAUAAUAUAAGAUAAUAGGAUAAUAAAAGGAUAUAUUCGUAGAAG